rnacentral:lncRNA from 1 species
AAAUAUGUUUCAUAGAAUAAUGAUCUAAAUGUUUAAGAUUAAACUAAAUAAUUGAAUAUUGAUAAAUAAUUAGAAAAUAUGUGAAAAAGAAUUGCUUUCGAAUCCUAAACAUUUUGCGAUUAAAAUACUGAUAACAUAACACCUGUAUGAUAACAGUAUUUAUAUAAGCCUGUAACUUUUUGGACCUACGUGCGUGUUUUGGUAUAUUAUUUUCAGUGGGUAUAUUUGAUAGUGAUAAAGAAAAAUAACUACCACUACGUGAAGAAAUACUUGACACUGACAAGGAAGAUGAACAGCGAGUCUGAUAAAAAAACUCUGCAAGCGGUUUGCUGAAGAUUAUCUCAGAAAUGAUGGAUGCUUUGUGGCAAGAACAAUUGGAAAGAAUUCAACAGAAAUGGUUGUAAUGGAUGUGUUGGAGUAUAUGUGGAGGGAUUACAAACAGAAAGACGAACGGAAACACCCGGAAAACUCGUUCACAUGAUAAA